rnacentral:rRNA from 1 species
AUUGAACGCUGGCGGCAUGCCUUACACAUGCAAGUCGAACGGCAGCACGGGAGCAAUCCUGGUGGCGAGUGGCGAACGGGUGAGUAAUAUAUCGGAACGUGCCCAGUCGUGGGGGAUAACGUAGCGAAAGCUACGCUAAUACCGCAUACGAUCUACGGAUGAAAGCGGGGGAUCGCAAGACCUCGCGCGAUUGGAGCGGCCGAUAUCAGAUUAGCUAGUUGGUGAGGUAAAGGCUCACCAAGGCGACGAUCUGUAGCUGGUCUGAGAGGACGACCAGCCACACUGGAACUGAGACACGGUCCAGACUCCUACGGGAGGCAGCAGUGGGGAAUUUUGGACAAUGGGCGCAAGCCUGAUCCAGCAAUGCCGCGUGCAGGAUGAAGGCCUUCGGGUUGUAAACUGCUUUUGUACAGAACGAAACGGCUCUUUCUAAUACAAGGGGCUAAUGACGGUACCGUAAGAAUGAGCACCGGCUAACUACGUGCCAGCAGCCGCAGUAA